AACCCAUGUGGGAUAUAACCAUGGUCUCCAUUUGAGAUCAUUAAUGGUCACCACAGUCCCAUGCGGCUUUCUCUGUUCCUGGUACUUACCCCUCCCCCUGAACAAGCCACACACCUACCUGGACAGUGAAUUCUGUGGCCACCUCAGGCUUCAGCUGCUCAUCCAAGUUUGUGUAGCCACAGCCCUUAGUUAGCAAGGGCCCGCUAAUGUGGACACGGUGCCUACUGACUGCAUGGUAGAUGCUGAAUUUGACCAACAUGUGUUUGUGUAUAAAGGAUAGCAUGGAUGUGACAAGGCAAACAAAUGUGGUAACUUCAACUUUUUUUUUUUGAGCCAGGGUCUUGCUAUGUUACCCAGGUUGGCCGGAACUCCUGUAUUUAAGUGAUCUUCCUGCCUCAGCCUCUCAGAAGCGAACCCCUCUGGACCUCCAGCUGCUCUCCUGUGUGUGUGCUUUGGCCACAAGACUCUCUUCCUUUCAGCACAAAAUGGAGCUCUUGGGCGAGGCGUGACACGAUUGUUUGGAAGGCGAGGAUGGCUGAAUAGGCUCUCGUCUUCACUCAGUGCUGUAGGCUCUGCUGUGACAAUCGCCACUGCCGGACGGACAGAGGAGACCUGGCCCUGGUGCAGAUUCUCAUCUUUGGCUGCACCUUGGAGUCUCUCUGGAAGCUUUCAAGAAGUGUUAGUACAAGACGGGCGAUGUGAUGAGCUGGCCCUUAGGCCCUGGUAUGGCUUUGGUCUUCGUUUUUUUUCAAAGUUCCCCAGGUGACUAUAACAUGCAGCUGGCAUGCCCCUAACAAAGGAAAGAAACUAUGAAUUGGGGGUUAGAAGUCAUUAUUAAAUCAGAGGUCCUCAAGUACAGUGUUCUCCAACCUCUUUGACACCAGGGACAGGGUUCACAGAAGACAAUUUUCCAGAGGUGGGAAGAGAAUUCUUUGUUUGUUUGUUUGUUUUGGUACCGGAGAUCAAACUCAGGACCUUGUGCUUGCCAGACAGGCAGGACACCACUGAGCUGAAUUCCUGGCCCAGGAGAAUUCUUUUUUUAAGUUUUUCUUUAUUAGAAUAUUUUUGUGAUACAUAAUAGUUACAUCCCCCAGCACUAGCAUCACUACCUCAGCUCCACCCCUUAGAUCAUCAGGCAUUAGAUUCAAAAGGAGCACAACCUAGAUCCCUCAUGUGCACAGGUCAGAGGAGGAUUUUCACUCCUAUGAGAAUCUAAUGCUGCCACUGAUCUGACAGGAAGUGGAGCUCAGACGGUGAGGGGAGCCAUGGGGAGGAUCUGUGAACACAGAGGAAGCUUCGCUUACUCCCCUCCUGCUGUUUCUAAUGGGUUGAUUUGGUUGCACAGUAAAUCACAAAGGUAACUUCUAAGAGUCCCAAAGCCUCGGUCUCACCCUUGCCAGUGACAGCCAACCUGGCUGUGGCUUUGACAGAUAUGAAAACUCCUGAGAUGAGAGAUCCUAGUGGCAGCCAAGUUUGAGAAUUGAUGACCCACAGUUUGGCACCACAGACUUUGCUGGUUUCUGCAUCAACUGGUGAGCUUGUCCUCAGCAGAGGCUGAUGAGGCAGGAAGGGCCCUGGGUCCUGCACUGCUGAGGCACUCUGAGAACAGGCCCUCCCAUGGGAGCUGGGGAGUCUCCUGAGAAGAGAGAGAGGUAUCUCAUGGGGCUGGUCUGCAGCAGCGCCUCACUUAUGUAGCAGAAAU